GGCCCUCAGGGGCGCUCGCUUCACACGCGAGAGGUCGCUGGUUCGAAACCAGCCGUGCCCA
rnacentral:tRNA from 1 species